rnacentral:lncRNA from 1 species
AGUGACUGGCCUAGCUUCCCAGGCUACAUCUUUCUACUGCGCUGUGCUGGAUGCUUCCUGUCCUUGAACAUCAGACUCUAAGUUCUUCAGUUCUGGGACUUGGACUGGCUCUCCUCACUCCUCAGCUUGCAGACAGUCUAUUGUGGGACCUUGUGAUCUUGUAAGUUAAUACUUAAUAAACUCCCAUAUAAAUAUAUAUCUAUUUCUGUCCUUCUAGAGAACCCUGACUAAUACAGAGGUCAUCUAAAAAUACAGACUUUAACUAGGAAGUUAAUCUGAACUUCGAACCUAGUUUGCUCUCAUUAUUUGACUAAAAAUUCUUACUGGGAGGAUUUUAAGAAAGGCUCUGAAGGAUAGACUUAGCUUCUGCUAUUUCAAGCACAAAAGCAGUUGAUUUUUCUAGUCCUGUGAAGCCACACAUCUCUCAGUCAAAGUAGAUGAAAUGCUGCAUACAGAAAAGGUGUCCAUAAAGGAAGCCCUGUUUCCUUCAAUCUCUUCUUGCAAGCUGGCCUUUUUUACCCUGAAGCUGAGCUCUUUUUUACCCUGAAGCUGAGCUUUUUUUACCCUGAAGGACUUUUCUAAAAAAAGCAGGGAGCCAUAAACACUCACCAAUAUCCUGAGUUUUCCAAUCAGUUUUCUAGAACAGUAAGAUCAGCAUAGAUGUUGCUGGAGUUCCAAUUUCUCACAGGUCACAUUUCUUUUCCUAUUGAUUUUGUGGAAUAAAUAGGUUAUUAGUGUCUCACAAUUUAAUAUCUGUUUCUUCCUCUUCAUCCACCUAAUUGUUAAGCCAAUGACAAAUAUUUUGAGUAUUUAUUAUUGAGGUAUCUCACAUCUCUGAUCAAAUUUUUAUAUUAGGUAGGCUAUAAGAUAAAUCUUUAUAACAAAUGAACCAAAAAUAAUUAUUUUACAUGAAAUUGAAGGCUGUUUCCUCAUAUUUUCACAAAAGGAGAGAGAUCAAGACCAGUAGAAUAGGUCUACUUCAGAGAGUCAUUCAUGGAUCCAUGUUUAGAAUAGGAUAAUAUUCUGCUUGAUGUUCCAUCAUUAUGUAGGGUAUGAUCCUCUUCCACAUGGAUUGGAGGCGGGAGAAAGGAAGUUCAGAAUAACUUCAUCUUCAAGGCAGUGACACUGUACUUGCACAUGUCUUUUGCGAUCACAUCCUCUUUGACCUAAACUUAAUCCCUUGGCCACACAUGUCUGCUAGGAAGGAUGAAAAGUCAAAUCUGUAGUUUAGUUGUGUAUCCUAAUUCCAUGUAAGCUAAAAUAAGGUGUUUUUUUGUUGUUGUUGUUUUUUGUUUUUGUUUUUGUUUUAAAAAACCACAACAAAACAAAGAAGAAAGAAAAGAAGGAAAGAUUGAAUUUGUGAGGACAGCUAGCGACAUAAAAGAUUAAUUUACAAAGAACGUUUAAUUGUAUUCAGUUUCAAAACAGUUUGUUGCCUACAACUAAGGAUAGAUUUUAUCCUGUGUUUCAAGAAGCAUUAAUAACAAUUAUCUCUUGGUGUUUACUAAGUGUAGGCCAUAGAAAAUUUUCCCAUUCUCUUGGAAUGUCAUCAACAACAUAAUCAAGAGGAGGAGUCUUAAAAUUUGGAGGACAUAGCUCCAUCAUGGCAAUAAGCAAACACUUGUUUUUUCCUGGUAAUUUUUAAAAUUAUUCAAGUUGAAAGUAAUACAAUAUCUGUUAACUGAUUUUGAUUUUUUUCUUUAAGCAAUUUAUUUGGGUCACUGUAUUUUUUUAUACUACUCUUUAAUAUAUUCUCUACAGAAUUCUUAAUUGCCUGCAAAAAUGAUUAACAGUAGGCUCCCCUGCUGUUCAACUCAGUCAUUCAUGACUUCACCAGAUGGUUUGUUUUUUUGGGCCAAUGGUUUUUCCUUUUGAUUUUUUUUUCAUAUUGUUUCCCCUCCCCUGGAUACAGUCAAGAUCUGAAAUAUGAUGCUCAGUUUUAAUUUUAUGACUAAAAUAUAAAAUAUUAUGCAGAUAAAUAUUUUAUUUUCGUUAUACUUAAGGCUAAUGGCUAGAGUGUUGGCUAUUGUGGGCAAGGCAAUUUGAAAGUAUACUUGUUUUCUUCAAUUACGUUCUUCACAUAGUCCCUUGUCAUUGUUCUCUAGUAAUUCAAGUGCCAUUAGUUUUUGCCACCUUUUGCAAUCUUCCCUUUGGUUACCCUAUUACUUUUAUGGAUUCAUUUUAUUUAACACUUUUCUUUAAUAUGUUAUUCAAAGUCCUGCUGAGGAAAACUCAUUAGCUGUUACUCAC